UGGGGAAUAUUGGGCAAUGGGGGGAACCCUGACCCAGCAACGCCGCGUGAGGGAAGAAGGCUUUCGGGUCGUAAACCUUUGUCCCAUGUGAAGAGAAGGAGACGGUAGCAUGGGAGGAAGCCCCGGCUAACUACGUGCCAGCAGCCGCGGUAAUACGUAGGGGGCGAGCGUUGUCCGGAAUGAUUGGGCGUAAAGGGCGCGUAGGCGGCGAAGUAAGUCUGGAGUGGAAGUCCUGUUUUCAAGAUGGGAAGUGCUUUGGAAACUGCAUUGCUUGAGUGUGGGAGAGGAAAGCGGAAUUCCCGGUGUAGCGGUGAAAUGCGUAGAGAUCGGGAGGAACACCAGUGGCGAAGGCGGCUUUCUGGACCAUAACUGACGCUGAGGCGCGAAAGCGUGGGGAGCAAACAGGAUUAGAUACCCUGGUAGUCCACGCUGUAAACGAUGAAUGCUAGGUGUAGGAGGUAUCGACCCCUUCUGUGCCGGAGUAAACACA
rnacentral:rRNA from 1 species